CAUGCCGUUCCCUCGGGCCCUGUCGCCGUCACGCAGAGCGGAGCUCAGCGCUGCCCUUCUGCUCCCUGUGAAGAACUGUGGGCUGCCAUGAUGUCUCCAACUAAAGAGCCCACUGUCCACAUAAGAUCUUAUGCACUGAAUUCAUGGCCUGAAAAUGUCAGUAGGGAUGGCAGUUUCUGCGGAAGCUCAAUUCUGGGAUGAAACGAAGCUUUUUUGGACCUCGACCUGUGCUUUACAGGUGAAUGGAAAUUGACCCUGCCUGUCCAUGGAUGACCUGCAG